rnacentral:lncRNA from 1 species
CAGCUCCCGACGCCGCUCACGGCCAUCCGCCCGCGGCGCCGGCCGGACCUGACCCUGCCGCUGCCCCAGCGCGACCCCUCCCUCGCCGUCCCCCUGCCGCUGCCGCCGCCGUCGUCGUCGUCGUCUUCUUCUUCUUCUUCCUCGUCUUCCUCCUCCUCGUCUUCCUCGUCGGCGGCGCCGCCGUCGUCGUCGUCGUCAUCGUCGUCUUCCUCGCAGACCCAGCCGGCGCUCCCGUCGCAGACCCCCCACCUGUCCGAUCUCGAGCGCGUGCGGCGCAUCGGCAGCGGCAACGGGGGCAUCGUCUGGAUGGUCCGCCACCGUCGCACCGGCCGCCACUACGCCCUCAAGGUGAUCUACGGCAACCACGAGGACGCCGUGCGGCGGCAGAUCUGCCGGGAGAUCGAGAUCCUCCGCACCGCCGACAACCCCUUCGUCGUCCGCUGCCACGGCAUGUACGACCAGGCCGGUGAGAUCCAGGUCCUCCUCGAGUACAUGGACGGCGGCUCCCUGGAAGGCCGCCGCAUCGCCGCCGAACCGUUCCUCGCCGACGUCGCCCGCCAGGUCCUGCAGGGGCUCGCCUACCUCCACCGCCAGAAGAUCGUCCACCGCGACAUCAAGCCCUCCAAUCUGCUCAUCAACGCCGCCCACCAGGUCAAGAUUGCAGACUUUGGGGUCUCACGGAUC